rnacentral:piRNA from 1 species
UAGUGAAACAGCUUUCUGGGUAAUUC